CACAUCUUGAGGCAUAGCUCUUGCAGACUUUGGAAAAAGCUCUUGCAGACAAGUGAAAACCAAGAGGAUGAGAAAACUGCCAUAGAGAACCAGAUAACAGCAGUCAUGAGAAACUCAGAUAUUGAAGCAGCACUCACAUUACCCUCUUCAUAGACCUGUUUGUUCUUCCAUGAGCAAAUGUAGAGCCUGCAACACUAACAUCUGAAUGAAAAAGUGGCCAGAAUCAACUGGACAGGCAUAAACUCCCCACUGUGCGAGCUAACAAAGGUGCCAUGAUUAUAAGCAGACAUGAGGAGGGAAGAAUCCAAGAUCUCAUCCAUGAGGAUUGUUUUCAGAAAACUGGGACUAGGACCACACCAAACCCAUUACCUGAGACUUCACUUCAGAACAAAGGUGGAGAACAGGAUGGCACCUCAGUUUUUCAGUACCU
rnacentral:lncRNA from 12 species